rnacentral:sRNA from 1 species
UAAAUUGUCAAUUUGUGCGUCCAGUAA